AUGGAAGACAUUUUUUUCAGCUAUGAAGUUUUUGUCAUCUUAAAAGUGAAAGAGCAUUGGUAUCAGUGGUGGAGUCUUUCUGAGACACAUAUUUGGGUGGCUUGUUGGGAUGAAUCGCCUUAUUCACAACUAGAUGCAAAAACACACAAGUACAUCGAGGCAGAUGAUCACUUUGACAUGUCAAUGUUUGAUUCCUCCUUAAGCAUGCAUGAAAGUGGAAAUUCUCCGCAAGCAGAAAGAUUGACGUGA